CAUCAAAUACAUCCAAUCUUUCACUCUCAUCAAAUUUAUGCAACUUUUCAACCCCACAUUCUCCAGCCAUCCUCGAGUCAGGAAUGAUGGUAUCAUCAGAUGCUCAACUACCCUCAUUCCAAAUUCCAGAACAGCAACCAUUGGUGGUGGAUCAAGCCUUCCUCAACAUCCCCGAACAAAAUAAUUCUAAUUCAUGGAACAAUUUCUCCUCGGUAACUAUUUCAAAUGCAAUUCACAACUCCAGUCGGAGCUUAUCCGCCAUCCAACCUCCAAG